rnacentral:rRNA from 1 species
GUGGGGAAUCUUAGACAAUGGGGGAAACCCUGAUCUAGCCAUGCCGCGUGAGCGAUGAAGGCCUUAGGGUUGUAAAGCUCUUUCAGCUGAGAAGAUAAUGACGGUACCAGCAGAAGAAGCCCCGGCUAACUCCGUGCCAGCAGCCGCGGUAAUACGGAGGGGGCUAGCGUUGUUCGGAAUUACUGGGCGUAAAGCGCACGUAGGCGGACUGGAAAGUCAGGGGUGAAAUCCCGGGGCUCAACCCCGGAACUGCCUUUGAAACUCCCAGUCUUGAGUUCGAGAGAGGUGAGUGGAAUUCCGAGUGUAGAGGUGAAAUUCGUAGAUAUUCGGAGGAACACCAGUGGCGAAGGCGGCUCACUGGCUCGAUACUGACGCUGAGGUGCGAAAGCGUGGGGAGCAAACAGGAUUAGAAACCCUAGUAGUCC